CAUAGGUGUUUACGUAUAGUUGCGUGUCACAUAAUAAGUGGCAAUAUCAAAUAUCUCCUGGGUGUUGUUUGUCCUAUCACGAGUAUUGUUUUCCAGCCAUCACAAGGAUAGAAAAAGCCUGCCUUAUUGAUGCGAUUUUUGGUUUCUAGGUGUUCUUAGUGGUAUAGGUCACAACCAAUAGUGUGGAUCUCUGGUUUGGAGAGUCCAUUAUUGGUUUUGCAUCAUUGAUUUAUUGAUUUAACAUUUAGUGCAUGCAUGCAUGUAGUUGAGGUCAAGAAGAAACAGAAAUGGUUUGCACAGACCAAAGUAUAUGAAGGGCAGUUUAGAAAUCAAAGAAAGCAGAGUCGAAAUAAGGGGGUUGGUGUUACACCUCCCAGCUCUUUCCUUAUAUAUAGAGAAGUUCUGAAGGAGUUCAAAAGACUGCCUAACCAUUGCAUAGGUGUGUUUGUAUAGUUGGGUAUCACAUAAUAAAGUGGCAAUAUCAAAUAUCUCCUAAAUGUUUUUAUCUCUAUCUCGAGUACUGUCUUGCAGCCAUCACAAGGAUAGAAAAAGCCUUCCAACCAAUGUGUUUUGGAGAUAAUCCUGUACUUCUUUUUCUCUGAAAUUUUGAGAGCACUGCUAGAUGAAGUUGUGUUCUGGGACACUGGCACAUGCUGUUUAGAGUCUCAUAAUAUGCAAUAAUUCUUGGCAAUAAUCUAAUAAAACUUGCUCCCUUUUAUUAACAUGUUUGCUUCCCUCUUGGCAGUCCAAUUCGCUCACUUAUUGAGUCAGGAAUCAAUGCAAAUAAAAGAUCGGAUGUGAGGCUUUAUUAUGGAGCGAGAAACCUUCAGAGAAUGGCUUAUCAGGUGUGGAAGAUAGAAUUCAUAUACAAUACAAUUUAUUGUAUUACAGUUCUGUUUGCUGUAUUGGUCUGAUCAAUCAAACAGAAAAGCUUGUAACUUUUAUAGUGCUCUUCUACAUCUUUAGGAUAGGUUCAAGGUUUGGGAGUCUAGUGGUGUUAAAAUUGUACCUGUUUUGUCACAACCAGAUGAUAGAUGGAAAGGUGAACAAGGCUAUGUACAGGUGAUGCUUUAUUUUUUUUUUUAAAUGUUACAAUUUGUUAGAAAAUUGAAUACUUCAAUUAUUUUUAGCUUCCUAAUUUUUCUGAGCUUCUUCUAGGCUGCAUUUUCUAGAGCCAAACAAGUUCUAAAUCCUUCAUCGACUGGGGCAGUGCUCUGUGGACACAAACAAAUGAUUAAGGUAUGACAUAUUUCUGUGAUGCUAGCAAUUAUGCUGGUUUAUAUUCCCUGAGUAGCUGCAGCAAUUUCGUAUUCUGCAGCGAUCUUCCUGGCAGAAGAUGUUGAUUAAGGGGCCAUUUGGGUGCCCAUAUAAUUUUUACUAUGAAUAUUUCCAUCUCUUGAUAAGGCUGUGAAGAACAUAGCCAAGCGGAGAGUCCUUUUUUUUCUCUGAUCUAGGAAAUCCUGAGCUCUUAAAUUCCAUAAUGUAGUAAUAUUGAAAAACACCUUCUGAGGGGAGUCUAUUGUCCUAAAAGAUUGAGAUCAUAGGUGAUCAAAGAAAUCAUAACCAGAAAUCGUUCUUUGUUUCUCUCGCAUUUUUGAGAUGGUGACAACUAGAAACCAUCACUUCUCUGGUGACUAAUUAUCCAUGCAUCCAAACAGGUCCUAAGAGCCUUUAUUAAUGGUCCCUUUUACUGAUUUUUGACUUCAUAUCUGAGCAACAACACUCUGGAAUUCUUUUCCUCUGUGAUUUUUAGUGUGUGUUAUUUGCAUCCGGUAUGCUAUAAUUGGGCUCUCUCUCUCUCUCNNNNNNNNNNNNNNNNNNNNNNNNNNNNNNNNNNNNNNNNNNNNNNNNNNNNNNNNNNNNNNNNNNNNNNNNNNNNNNNNNNNNNNNNNNNNNNNNNNNNNNNNNNNNNNNNNNNNNNNNNNNNNNNNNNNNNNNNNNNNNNNNNNNNNNNNNNNNNNNNNNNNNNNNNNNNNNNNNNNNNNNNNNNNNNNNNNNNNNNNNNNNNNNNNNNNNNNNNNNNNNNNNNNNNNNNNNNNNNNNNNNNNNNNNNNNNNNNNNNNNNNNNNNNNNNNNNNNNNNNNNNNNNNNNNNNNNNNNNNNNNNNNNNNNNNNNNNNNNNNNNNNNNNNNNNNNNNNNNNNNNNNNNNNNNNNNNNNNNNNNNNNNNNNNNNNNNNNNNNNNNNNNNNNNNNNNNNNNNNNNNNNNNNNNNNNNNNNNNNNNNNNNNNNNNNNNNNNNNNNNNNNNNNNNNNNNNNNNNNNNNNNNNNNNNNNNNNNNNNNNNNNNNNNNNNNNNNNNNNNNNNNNNNNNNNNNNNNNNNNNNNNNNNNNNNNNNNNNNNNNNNNNNNNNNNNNNNNNNNNNNNNNNNNNNNNNNNNNNNNNNNNGCAAGGUAAUAGCCACCUCAAUCUUCACUUAAGUCCCUCUCUGAAACACCUCGGUUCAUUCGUGAAGCUUUUUCAGAACACGGUCCAUGGCAAAUAGCAAAACCUUCUUAACAUGUUAUAAGCAUGGUGUGAGAUCAGCAUCACCAUGGGAUAUUCCCAUCAGAUGUGCCUAACUUCCUAUACCCAAAACCCACACUAAGUGCAUGACUGUUCCACAGUUAUCUGUGGACAUUUAAACGUGUUCUUGGUGUAUUGUUGGUGUUUCUGACCUGAACCUUCUCAUAUAUGGAUUCCAAUACCCUUUGAUUAGAGUUAGGUAAAUUUUCUUCCAUUAUCGCCAUAAGUCCAUCCAAGUGCUAAAACCUGGAGCAGACAGAAGAAUUAGUGCUUUCGGGACCAGAAGAGAUUAACCAGAGUUGAAUCUCUUCUUCCCAAUGCUCAUAAUAGUGCAUCAUUCCGCUUCACAAUCAUCUGUGCGCAUUUCAACAUUCACCUGGGGCAGUUGCUUGCUAACUCUGACCUGAACCUUCUCAUCUGAUUAUCUUAUUCGGCUUGCAACUUUUAAUGCUAUGCUUCUCCGCAAAAAACUUUUAAUGCUAUGCUGCUUGAUGGAUCAUGGUGAAAGGAGGAUAGGCACUAGGAUUACAGCAAUAUCGGGCUUUAGUUUUUCGAAUUUUGUUCUAAGUAAAAAUUUAUGAAUAUACUUGGAAUGAGCUUUGUGGUUACCGGGUUUUGUUAUCUCAUGGAUCGUAAAUAGUUCUUUGCCCAAAGGUUAGUGAAAGAUCGAUAGGGAAGUGAGACCAAGCAAGAGAAAGGAGCUUGAGCACACAUUUAAUUGUUGAAGUCAGCAUGUUGGUCCAAGAUGGUUAAGGUACUUGGAUUAGACACCAGAAAACAAAAUCAGGAUAUCAGGAAAAACAUCAUAAAUAAGGCACCGUACUUCAGAACAAAACAAGUAUGUUUUGUAUAAAAAGUUUUGCAGUUGAAUUUCAAAAGGAAAAUUAAAUUAAGAAGAAAUAUACAACAUUACAGAAUUAGCUUUGAGGUUGCAGAUUUAUCUGAUAAAAGUCAGUACUGGCAGCAUAGUACUCCAUGAAUGCUGAAUGCAUAUGUAGGUGAUAUUACUUCAUGUUGAAUUAACAAGUUCAGCAACAUUCUAGGUUUGUAUGCGAUGUUGGAUCUUGUGACUUUUUACACAGAAAUCAAGCUCAAAUUAUAGAAGUCAUGAUGGUAUUUAUGUAGUGGCUUGUUUUUUUUUUUUUUUUUUGGGGGGGGUUGAGAUUCUUACAGCUAUCAUGGUAAAACCACUCGAGAUCACUAGUGCUCUCAUGAAAUAUCCUUAUUUAUAUGUUAUAUGUUGUAUUUGUAGACAAAUUUAGAUACAUCUGCUUUUUUUUUUUGGAUACUCUAUUUUAGACUUUGUAAUAAUAGGCAUUAUUUUUGGUAAAUAAUAGUAGUCUGGCUUAAUUUAGAUAAUGUAGAACUGAUGUGAACUAAUGUCUAUGAUCACGUGGCAGGAUGUUACAACUGUGCUUGUGGCUGAUGGUGUGCCGAAAGAUAAAAUCCUGAAGAAUUUCUAAUGGUGGACAAGGACUCCUGUUUUGUUGUAACAUUUUUGACAAAAAAACCAUCAGGUAUUCUUUAACCACCAAACUACAAUCAUUUGAUUGAACUUGGAUAGAUUAGGAGCUAAUAAUUUAUCAAAUUUUGAUAUUUUUCGGAUAUUGUAACAUAUAGUAUUUGAAAUGUCUAGUGAUUUAAUAUCACUUGAGGACCAGGGAUCUGCACAUGCAAAUCUUAACUUUUUCAUAUAUAAAUGGUGGUCAACAAUAAACUACUUGUUUGAAGAUUCAUGACUGCCGCUGUUUUUAAGCAUGAUAAAGCCAAUGACAUUUUUGGCUAUCCUGCCUAUUUGUGUUAUUAUAGUCUACAGAUGAAUAAAUUAUUAUUAUUCUUAAAUUUACCCCAUGAGAAGUUGGAAAUUGCCUUGAAGUUGGCCUGCUUUACAUCUUUGGUUGAAUUUUUGAACCUGAGCUUGAUGAAGAAUAUAUGAAAUAAAGGAGGUAAUGACAGCUAUCAAACAUUCUGAUCAGUGUUCUAGGACUCCAGAUGUGUGAGAUGAUCUAAUUGACCAAGGGAUAUAGAAUGACCUUGGUACAGGCAUCUAACAUAUGGUUGGAGCAUGCUUUCCAGUAUUUGUAGCUGGGAGUUCUUAGGAUGCCCAUUUGAUCACUGAAUACCGUUUGAUCACUCCUGAACUCCAAACGCAAAAACACAAGGGUUAUAAUUCACAAAAGGGUAAAGAAAAGGAGAUCAUUAGAAAAACAUCAUGAUUUAAAUCUGAUAAAAUCUGGGUGCGCUCUAAAUCCUGUCAUUCAGAUGCUCAGAGGUCUCGACAAAAAGUUGAAUAUGUGAGUUCUGGUUAGCAAAUGAACUUUUUCCCUAUCAUUUUGAAGAAAAUGCAUAUCAUUUUCCGGCAGCAUGAUGCAUGAAAUGCUUAUUCACGUCUAACUCGUGACAUUUGUUGGUACCUAGUUCACGUGGACCUUCCCUACCUGAUGGGAGUAUUCGUCACGACCAUUCUUUUCAGGCCUUCCAAUCAAAAUGCAGCAUGAGCCCAGCAUUACACGAACAAUGUUUGAACAAGGACCGGUUUUACCAGUCGCCCUGCUUGUUUCUGUAAUAACAAUAGUUGACACAGUGAUGCAUUAUUCGUCUAAUUAGAGGCUCUAAUUAAAAUCCCUUUCUUUACAUGUCUAAGAGCGCUAUAGCUAACAAAAAAACCCGAAGUCACCGAAUCGGUAUCAGAUUAAGAUCCGACAAAAUCAAAAGAUCCAGCCAUCAAGGCCACCAAAAAAUUGCUUGCAAAAACCCCUUCUGAUGCAUAAACUGCUAAAAACCUUUCUAAGAACGAUGAAACACAACCUUUUUCUCAUCCUAACGUCGUAAGGAUCCACAGAACAACAUUUCAUCAAAGAGAUCACCCUAUGUCAGAAUCUUACAUUAAAAUAUUAGAAAUUCCAAGACACGGUUGAGGCAUAAGCCAGGUGCCCUGCAAAACUGGAAAUCAAGUUAACUACCACUAAAGUUCAAUAUAAGCCAAUAAGAGAAGAUUACAUACGCAACUUACGCAACUUUAAAAAUGAGAAGUUCCGCUUAAAUACAGCUGCAACUGUCGAUUAGUUCUAACCGUAUCAGCCUAGAAUAACCAAAUUAAACAUUUGAGACAACAUAAUUUGAAUGGAGUCAUCCAAGGCUAUCCAAGUUUCGUUAGAAGCAACAAUAAAAGUUCCGGACAUGCAGCACCAACUAAAACAGACACCAAAAACAAUCAAACAAGUUUACUCAUGCACUUGUGUUCUGCGAACACGCCCAAAUCACCAACAUUCUAAAUCAAGUCUCGUCAUCCCUGCCCACCUUGAACUAGUAGGUACUCCAAGCCUUCACGUCAUGCAUCUAAUCAUUUCCAAGCAAAAAGAAUGAUGGACGGUCGGUACUAAAAUCAAUUUCAACUGUUAUCACCUUCAUCAGGAGAUUGCUUUCUUUCAUGCUCUCCCUGUUUACCAUUUGAAUCCACCAAAUUACGAUGAUGAUCAUGAUGGCGAUGAUUGUGAUGGCGAGGGUGGUGGUGGUGCUCGUGCUUGUGAUGAGGCUUCUUGGUAUCUCUUUGCUUCCCAACCUCCUCCCAGUCAUCAUCUGAUGACUUCCCCACAGAGUGGCUCCUUCUAUUAUGCCUGUGAUCAUCAGAAUCUGACACAGAAUCAUCAGUACUUGAUAUAUGAUGGUGAUUCCGCUUCAAGUGAGUCUUCCUCUGUUCAGAGUCUGAUGCUGAGUCCUCAUCAUUUGAUCUGUGGUGGCGCUUAUGGUGCCUAGAGUGGCCCUUUCGUACUCCUCUGACUUCAUCUUCACUACUUGAUCCUGAGCUGCUGGACUCUGUUCUUGAAGAAUGAUGUCCAUGCCUCCUCUUCUUGGAGCGUCUCUUCCUCCGAUGAUCUUCCUCAGACCCGCUAUAGUAUCCAUCACUGCUGCUCUCAUCACUUGAGCUUGUGUUCCUUUUCUUUGAUCUGUGUCUACACCUCCCGAUGUCUUCUGAGGAGUCGGAAUGACCAUGUUUCCGGUGUUUUUUGUGAGCCUUCUUCUUCCUGUGCUUCCUGUCAAUGUCACUGUCAUCAGAAUCACUGUCAUAAUCAGAUGCUGAAUCCAUCUUCCUCUUGUGCUUUAUGGCCUUCAGCUUCCUCUCCUUUGUUUCCACAUCAGCUUUUGCCUUGGCUGCAGAUUCUAGCUUCUGUUCCCAUUUUAGGGGGGCUUCUCUCUUCUCCAGCAUUCUCUUUUUCUUCUCUUCAACCAACUGCAAAAACUUCUUGCUGUCCAUUUAAUAUUAUAAAAGUCCAACUUGACACCUGCAUAAUGGUGAGAUGAUGCAAGGAAGUGCAUCUCACAAAAGAGAAAAAUCAAUGUUAGUUCUUCAUGCAUCCAAUGAUUCGUAAGUUCCAAUACAUACAUACAUACAUAUAUAUAAACUAUAAAGAAAAACUACAGAGACACGCCAAGCAUAACAAUUAUACCAAAUUGUCAAUCGAAUAUUUAUUCAAUCUUACAGAAUUAGAAUUGCUCAAUUUUGUUUGAUUUAACCAAAAAGAAUAUAAAUCAAUACUAUUACAUUCCAAUUCCUUCCCGGUACUCCGAAGCAAAAUCCUAAAUUGGAUCCAAAAUUGAUGGGUUGAUGUGAGCUUAUUCAUGCGGUUAUGCACUCCUCAAAUAGGAAUCGAUUUUCUUAGCUCUUUCUAUCUCACAUACUCCCUUUCUCAUGAAGCAAAAACAUAUUCUUUGGUGGCAGUGGCACUCCCAAAAACUGGAUUUCAUCCACAACAAAUAGAGAUAGGUGGGCACUCAAACAUAAGUAAACAUCAACAUAGAAAGAAGAGAUCAAUUUGCUACAGAGAUAGUUGAGCCUAUCUAAUCGACUCAGAAGAAGAAAGAGCAACCGCACCAACAUCUGUUGAAGGAAAUCAAUACACAAACAUAUGCAUACAUAUAUAAUGUAUCUAUUACAUAGAAAAGUCCGGGUAGGCGGUUUCUGACACCAAAGAUGUUAAUAGGAAAAUUAACAGCGGUUGAUGAUAUCUUCAAUCCUAGUUACUGCAGACUAACUAAUGGAUACAAGGUAUCACAUGUGGCAAUAUCACACGAGAAUCUGAAACCAGUCACCUCCAAAGCACACGAAAAACAAGGCAACAUCACAUAUAGUCUGCCAAAAGUCAUUUACCAACCGAGUAAAUGGACAGAUCUUCAAUGCCAAGAUGUGGAAAAAUGACAAUUUGCAGUGGAAAAUGAGUGUAGGAGAGGAGUUAGGUGGGAGGGGUAAGAUAAAGGAAGACUCAAUUGCUCAAAACUCAGCAUUUUCCACCAAGUAUAAUGUAAUGCCCGCUAGAUCAUAUAACCAAAAAGAUUUUAAGUCUGGAAUGCCAGGAGUAUUGGAAGCCGGAGAAGAGUGUAGAUUGACCACCAAAAUAUGGUGAUGCCUACAAUUCUAAGGGUUGGACAAUCAAAUGACAUGAACUUACUGCCUAGCAUCUAACACAGUAAGGAACUGGACCAGCUGUUUUAGCCCUUCCCACACAUGUGUGACCAUGUGAAUGUUUGUCCCCAACUCCUAAAAAACAAAAAUUUAUGUUGACAUUAACAAAAUUAGGUGAAAAGUUCUAUGUUUAAUCCAGGUGAUGAGAACCCUCCCUCUUUAAUUAAAAAAAAUAUGGCAGCACUGGUUCUUCUGCUUCUAGUUCUCCUAAGCUACUCUAGAGCAUAUUCAUGGUUCUAAAAUGCAGUGCAUAUGGCUGCAUAUGUAGCCGCAUAUGCAGAUAUCAUCCCUUGACCAAACCAAAUUACCUAUACACAGUUACCAUUUCCAGCCAUAGCCAUGAAGGCCAAAAAAGGCAGUCCACCUAGCAUUGUGCUACUAAAUAUGAGUUGGACUGGAUGUUGAUAUUAAUAAUGUUUAUUACUUGUGCUAUCAUGACAAACUAUUACGUGUAAAGUAGUAAACACCAAUUGUUAGCUGUUAUUGUCAUUAAACAUUGACAUUAUUUAUCAAUAUUAAUAAAGUUACCAAUAUUAAUAAAGUUAACAUUAAUAUUUAUCAAUUGUUAGCUAUUAUUGUCAUUAAACAUUGCUAUUAUUUAGCUAUAAAGUGGUAAAUCAGCAGUCAUUUUGUUGUAUCCAAUAUUAAUUUAUAUUGAAAAAAAAAAACUAAUCAUAUAUCCACCUGCAUAUGUGCUACAUGGUCCCUUGACCGCCCACAAACUGUGCCCAUCUAUUAAAGCACUUGGAAUGUUUUCUAAAGAAAUUUUCCUUAAGUUUAAUGCACAGGUGAGCUUUUUGCAACAUUUCAAUUGUAUAGACAAGCAGAAUGGAGAAAUUAAAAUAAAGUGGUUCAGAAAUAAUCCUACAUAUUAAUCUCAGCUUUCUUUUAAGUGGCAGAUUUGUUGAUUUCCUUGGUCCCUGUACAUGUCACUUACCAAUGUUCAGGCUCAGUUCUUGUAGUCAAGGUUGAUUUUUAUGUAUAAGAUAAUUCUGCAUAUCCUAUAGAAUAAACAUGUUGUAUGAUGCUUCUGUAAAGGUUGGUACUCUCCCAUGAAAACUCUCGAUCACUAAGAAUUAAUGUGGUUGGAGUCCAUUGUGUUCAACUUGUCAAUAAUAAUGAUGGGUUUGUUUGGAUCAUUAUAAUAUAAAAAAGAAAAUACAACCAAAAGAUUGCAAUGUUAAGAAUGAAAAACAAGAGGAAGAACCACGUGAUCAACAUUCUUACCUUAUGCAAAGGCUUCGGGAAAACAGGCUCAAACACCUUAAAUCAACAAGAAGGAAUCUUAUCUCCUUUCCAAUUGGAAGCUGAGAAAGGAAAAGAAAAUUUGAAGUCAAUAAUCACCAUGAUUAAAUCUAAAAUGAUAUUUUUAAAAAUAUGAAUGGGAGAAAACUGAUGCAAAAAGAAAGGACAACCAAACUUCCACCACAAUAGAGGCUGAAAAGGCAGUUGCUGAGAAAAGGGGGGAAAGGAGGGGGUUGUUUUUGGCAGUUUAAAUUCAUAAUAAGGUCAUAAAAGAAAUAAGGAACUGCUUAAUUACAUCUCAUCUAUAUAUAAGUCAGACACCACAAUCACAAAAUGUAUGUUAUGAAGAAGCUAAAUCACCGUGCCUUUAACUCAAAAGGCUCAAAUCAUUACAUAAAUGCCAUUGACAAUCCAAUACGUAAAGAAUGACUAGGCAAGACAUAGUUAUACAGUGGUAGGUGCUCCGCUAUCUGUGCGACUGCAAACUACACAAGACCUGUUCCCAAAAAAAGAAGAAAAAAUUACAGAUGUUUGAGUUUAAGAUGAGGUUCACAACUUAUCAUAUCAUUGCCACUUUCCUUCUAAAGCAAGACUUCUAUAUUGUACCUCCUCAACCUACAAUCUUUAAAAAGAAGGACAUCCAUAGAAAAAAGCACCUUUCAAGGACCUCAAAAAUUCAACCUAAUCAUACCUUCAUGAGGCUUGAAUUCAUAUUAGACAGAUAAACGCCUUCUUAUUGCUGUUUAUGACUAAAUUUAAGUUAGAAUGAAUUUUGAUCCAAGUGUGAGAAUAUACUCGUACCUAUUAUUCAAUACAAUGCUGCCUGCAUUCUUGUUAUCAAAUUCUAGUCACAUCUUAGGACCCACAAGCUUCAGCCAAGGGUGCAUUGGCUCUUAUGCAUAAUCAUACAUAACUUAAGAAGCAUCAUCAAAAAGAGAGCAAGAAAUAAAAAUCAGCAUAUCUAAAUAUUAGGUGAUUCCACCUCUAUAGAAUUAACUAGAAACUAAACCCUAAACCCUAAAAACCCUAAAACCCUAAACCAAAUAGAUUCUAAAACUUUUAAAUAUAGAAAUUAAAAAAACACAGCACUUACAACAGAUCUGCUGAAAAAGAAAAAAGAAAUGCCAAUCAAAAUAUAAAAAACAUAAAACUUGAGGUUAAUUAAUUUAUAAGACAACAAACAGGAGAACAAAAUUAAAACAAGCAUGAAAACAUAAAACAGAAGGUACAAAGCCGAAAGCGCAGCUGCAUGUGCAAAUAAUGAAACAAGUUAAAUAAAAAAUACAAAACACAAAUAAAAGUACAAAAUACAGAACUAGCAAAAGACCAAUUGCAAAAUACAAUAAAAUAUGUCAAAUAAAAAAAAAAGCAAAAUCAGAAAUAUAAAAAGGCAAAUUAAGCAAAUUACAGAACGAGAAUUUAAAAAUUAAAUAAUUGUGUGUGUGUGUGCAUACAUACAUAUGUAUAUGUAAACAUGUGUGUGUAUGCGCGCGCAUGCGUGUGUGUACAUACAUUCAUAUGUAUAUGUAUGUACAUACAUACGUACAAUGAAACAAGUUAGAUGAAAAAAAAUACAAAACACAAAUAAAAGUACAAAAUACAGAACUAACAAAAGACCAAUUGCAAAAUACAAUAAAAUAUGUCGAACAAAAAAAAAUGCAAAAUCAGAAAUAUAAAAAGGCAAAUUAAGCAAAUUACACAAUGAGAAUUUAAACAUUUAAUAAUUGCGUGUAUGUGUGUGUGUGUACAUGCAUACAAAUGUAUAUGUACAUAUGUGUGUGUGUACGUGCGUGUGUACAUAUACAUACACACAUAUGUAUAUGUACGUAUGUAUGUAUACACAUGAGGGAGAGCCGUGGUGCACCAAUAAGGUUGCUUCAUUAAAACCUGCAUGCAUGCACGCAUGCAUACACACACGCACGCGAGGGAGAGCCUUGGCACAACAGUAAGGUUGCUUCAUUAAAACCUUAGUGUCACAAUUACAACAUAUAGAAACCUGCAUGCAGGGAUAAGGCUGCAUAAAUCUAACUCUCUACUAGUUCUACAUUGGCGGGAGCCUCAUGCAAUGGUCUACCCUUUUUUAUCAGAUGUAGAUGGAUAUAUAAUCAUGAAUGUGAAAAGUAUUUGUUGGUCUUUUAUUAAGCUUGCAAUUUGGAUUAACAACUUAGUCUAACUUAACCUUCAACAACAUCAAUAACGAGAUGUUUAUGGGAGGAUUUCUUUUCUGAUGCUUGCUUGGAACUUGCCAGCUCAGAAGCAGCCUUACCAAGCUUGACUAAUAGGAACCACAUUCACUCCAAAUUUUCUCCUAGAGAAAAGAUAUAAUAAAUAAGAAAAGCAACCAGCAGAAAUAACUUAAAGAACCAGUCUAGCUUUUAAACAUACUUUCAACUGAAAAGAGCGAGGAUCUUGGACUACAGUACUAUUAUAUCAAUUCCCCAAGAUCCACGAUAUAAAACAAUUACAGAUUAAUCAAAAAAUCAACUUAGAACCCUCUGUAGAGGCAAGCAUUGACAACUUAUGGACCACACCAAAAAAGACAUGUUCCAAAGAUCCCCAAGAAUUGAUGCUCAUAAUUUGCUCUAACUGUUAAUGUAUCAACAGCAUAUAUCUUGUAAGCACUAGUUGGUCGCCAGAUCAUACUGCUGGGAGAUUAGUAAAAAAAAUUAUGCUCAUACUGCUGGGAGAUUAUUAAAAAAAAUUAUGCAGUUCAUUCUGCCAGCAUGAAAAUGUCUAUAUGCUGCUGCAGUAUAAAAGCAUCACUAGUGUGAUCGUAGUCUGACCUAAGAAGUUAAUGAUGAUGCCAUAAUUUUCAGGCACUUCAGAAUAAAAUCAGGAUACACCAAAAGAAUGAAAAAUAAGGAUAGUCCUGCAGAGGAAUGUCAACAAUAAAAUGUUGGAGGUCAAACACUCUCACCGCAAACAACGAUCAGCAGGACACAAAAUUGCCACAUCAUGAUUAAAUACAAUAAACAAAAAUCACCUUAUGCCAGGACCAAAUACACCAAUUCAAAGUUGCUUAAAACCAAACAAGAAAGUUUCUUUACUCUCCACGCAUUUGAUAUGAGAGAAUGUAGAACAAAAUUUAUAAUUACAAACCAAGAAAUACAAUAAAAAGAUAGGCUUAUCAUCAAAGCAAUACUAAUUAUUGGAAAUUAAAACCAAUUAGGUGGAAUGAAACACAUUACACUACCAUAAAAAAUAUCAUCAUUCAAACUUUCACCGUCGUCCAAAAUCUGAACUGGUGAAGAUGCAAGAACCAAGAGAUCUCGCUCAGGCAACAUAGCUUUAUGAAAAAAAAACCCUUAGAAGAAACAAAAAAUUGGAAUACAGCAGAGAAAAAGGCAAUACGAUCUAAGAUUCAAGCCUAAAAGCACAUAUCCAGAGAAAAGAGGGGGAAACCCCUAAAAAUCAUGGUUCCAGUUCAAUAUGAGGAGAAGAACCAGUUGAAAUAACGACAAAACCCUAAAGAAGCCCCACGACAUCGACGCCAAAACCCUAAACCCCAAAUUCCGCCAACAAAACCCUAAAGAAGGGCAAGAUCCAGCGCAAAACAACCUAAAUUCCAGGAUCCAGAUUUCACCACAAGAAAACAAACGAAAUCAAAAAUCAAUGACAUCCAAGCAAAAAAAAACCCCUAAAAAAUGGAAAAAGAAGGAAAGAGAAAGAGGGAUCUGAGAUCUACAUGGCCCUCGAUCAAAAGAAAAAGAAUAUUACGGGGAAAAGCAAUUAAAGCCCUAAGAUCUUACCAGACGGACGAAAAAGGCAGCAGAAGACAGGAGGGGCGGAGGCGGCGAGGACGCGUCUGCAGAAAAGAAGAUAUAGCGUGCGAGAGAGGGAUCGCACGCUCGGCGAGCCCAUAUUUAUAGAGUGACGCGUAUAUACGGUGUUAGUCUGUACAUACUGUCGAGUCGUGUGGAGACUAUUAUCCACCGUUGGAUUUCUGCCGUCCAGACCGAUGGUGGGCGGAGGCGGGGGAGGGGGAGAGGAGACAUGAGGGAGGGGGCAUGAGGCAGGAGGCGGAGCAGAGGACGUGGAGGGGAAGACUGGGCGACCGCAACCAUCUCUUCUCCUCUACUGCUUCGCUUUUUAUUUCAAGAAAGAGAACGCGAAAAGGUUGGAAGGGAGCAGGGAUCGGUCGUCGCAGCCGCCAAAGGGGGAGAGGGUAGCGGCAUAGCCAGCACCGAAGAAGUAUCGGGUAUUUCUUCUUUUUAGAAAAAGAAAAAUAAUUUGUUUGGGAGAUAUAAUGUGAUACGUGUGUGGCUCUACUUUUCCUUGCUUUGUGCUACUCUUAUUUCAUUUUGGGGGUGUCCGAAUGAGAGUUCCAAGGUUCUCCGUUGGCAAAAGUUCAAGCUUCAAUAACCUUAUAUGGCUGGGAAAUUUUCCCCAAAAGCAUAAAAAACUCUUGCUAGAAAAUUGUUUUAGGGCAAAACAUUUUCCGCGUACAUAUAACAAAAUAUACUAUUUCUAUAUAUAACUGUUCUCUCAUAAUUGAUGAACAUUUUUACUCUGAUAAAUUAUUUAUCUUAUUCAAUUAUAAAAGAGGAGAUAGUUGAUGGAACGAAGCUGGCCCGGUCCUUGAGAUCCAACCUGGAUCAUUUUAAAAGAUUCGUAGGAUCAAGUCAGAUUUUAAAAUUAAAUUUAUUUUAUUUUUUAAAUUGAAUCUAAAUUUACUGAAUUUAGAUCCAAUCCAAUCCAAAUCUAAUAUAUCAUUGAACUCGAACCUGUUUCAGCUUUUAAAUUAUGAUUUAAGAUUUAUAUAAAUAAUUUUUUUAACAUAAAGAUAGAUUUAAAAUUAUUUUUAAAUCUUAAUUUAUUUUGAAAAUAAUAUUAUUUAUUAUUUAUUUUUUAUAGUUAAUAAUAUUUGAUUGUAUGUUAAUUAAAACAUAAUCGGCCAUAUUCGGCUCAAAUCCGAUUUGGACUCGAAUUUUUCGAGUUGAAACCAAAUUAUUCAUUGGUCCGAUCCGAUCUCAAUGACCUGUUAGAUUGAAAAAUUUGAUCAUGUGUCCGUCCAAUUAGAUUCUCUAUUGAAUUCGAUCUAGAUCUAAUAUUGGAUCAGGAUCAUCCAUAAUCUGAUCCGCCCAAUUCAUUUGCACCCCUAUCAAUCAUUGAUUACCUCGUAUAAAUAAUAUUCAAGGAGUAUCUCACCGUGAUCCAUUGCAUGGAAAAAUGUUUGGGAGCACCCAUUUUGCUAGCAGGUUCUAGUUAUUUUUAUGAAUUAUUUGAGCUGUCCAAUGCAUGAUAUGUACUGAAGCAUGUAUUUAUGGUUAUAAUCCUAUAAAAUUUCUAAUAUGGAUUCGGAAGUUGAAUAUGAUACAGGAUGUGCUUCAAAAUGAUCUUCCUAGCCGAGCGUUAGCUACCUGAUAAUACCCCUGUGCCUCCUAGCAGGGUAUGAGGUUCUGAAUGAUGUUAUCCCAGAAGAUUUUGGCUCCCCCAUAAUCUCCAAUAAAUGACUUUGUUAUGGAAGGAAGAUGCAAUUGUACAUUGUGAUAGACAUUUAGAGUCAAAAUUCAAAUCCCCAAAAUUAAAGUUAUAUCCAAAUUUGAUAAAAAUAUUGAAAAAGAGAUAUUAAAAUUGAAAAUCAAGAUUCGACGAUGAUUAUAAUUAUCAUAAUCAUUAAUAAUAAUGACGACGACGACGACGACGACGACGACGAUAUAUUCAUAAUAGAACCUCAUUUACACAACACUUUUUUUACCAAAAAAAAAAAGCAUAAAUACACAGUAGCACAUACCACUACAGUUGCAUUCCAGGUUUCAUAUGGAUCUCUAAAUAAUGAGGUACAAUUUCUAAAUAUAUGAUUUAAUCUUGUAUAUUAGAUAUUAUGUUCAUAUUUGGAAACCCAAGCUCGUCUGCUAGUAGUCCGAGCAGAGGAUUAACAGUAUCAGCACAAUCAUACAUCAGCAUGAGAUUAAUACAUCAACACAGUUUAAAGUAUAGUUGGCGAGAAGAAGAUCAGAAAUAAAUAAGCUUCACUAGUUCAACAUAGCUAGCAUAGACGUAAUUAAUUAUUCAAAAUGAUGAGACCUGCACGUAGAACGUCAAUGGACGGUUUAAUAUUAUUAGCAAGGUGAGGUCUACUAAAAAGAGAUGUCAAACUGUAAUAAUCAUUUGUUCGCUAAUAUAAGACUACGAAAGAUGCCUGAUAGCAUUCGUUNNNNNNNNNNNNNNNNNNNNCAUGUAGAACGUCAGAAAAGCAGCUCCCGUAAUGUUAAUUACAGUGUACAGGUGAGUAAUGCAUGAAAGGAUAAAAUAAAAGGAAGCUUGUAGCAGGAAUCAAGAGAGUAUCUGAUAGUUUGCCAAUAUACUGAUUACCGAACAAUCAUAAACUGAAGUACUCGGAAAUAACCUAAUGAAAGUGACAAAAAACUAAAAUAUAAAAUGUAGAGCAACAAGGAAUUGAGAAAAGGUAACUACAAUAUGAUUGUAAUGAACUGAACUUAUACCAAUCAACAACAUAGAUUACAGAAUACAAACACGAUAAAAGGAGACCAAACUCAACACCCAGAUUGUCCGAAGUUAAAACAAACAGCUAAUAAGUAUAAAAACCAAUUUAACAGAACUUCUAAGUGGUGCAAGUUUCUUGUGUCUUGCUAUGUGCUUUCCUACUGGCAAGUAAAUUUUUUUAAGGAAAACAGGCAAGUCUAAUUUUAGAAGCCAGAAAUCAAUGUCAAAGAAAAGAUAAGAGUGGACCAAGCAAAUAUGCAUUCCAUUAACCACCAAAAAGAAAGAGAAUUCCAUCAAUGAGAUAAUCGUGUGAUGCUUCUAAAGAUGGUCAUAUAAAAUAACAUUCUUAUCUAACAACAAUGUAAAUAUGAUAUACAAACAUGCACACACAAAAGCAUCUCUGUAGACGUCCCAUAAAAACAAAAUCCGAAAUCGCAUUAUGCUAAGGGAUUGUAUAAGCUGAUAAAAUAUGUAAGUCCAGACAAUUACUUUUCUAUCCUAAUGUGAACAAAUGCUGAAAAUACAUACCGUAUUGGAUAUCAUACUACCUUUGGAGUAUCGCAUGGCUACUUUGUCUGUUCCGUCUAUUUUAUGAUAUUUGAUAUGAUGAUGCGCCCAAAAUUUACUUGUUUAGAAUGCUAGAUAGCAGUUUUCUUGGGUCAAUAAAGUGGUACAAGUUCAUGAAGGAAUGAGUUCUACACAUCUCAUUUUAGGAGUAAUUACUCUGGUAUGCUUAAAACAUCAUUCUAGAAAUCAUAUUAAUGCAAAGGCCUGCCUUACCAAUGGCUUUGAACGGUCACCUGGACCUAAAGCUAAUUGGUGAUUCCCGGCAUCAAAAUCUACAUGGUCUUUUAUGACAACUCUAGAUCAAUGUGUGGUAAAAAACCUCAUAUUUUUAUUGAUCCAUAAUCAUGAAAAAAGUUGUGAAUAGUGGUUUGCAAUUUCAUUGGUAAAAUUUGCUUUUAUUGCUAUCAAAUAUUUUCAUACAUAAAUGGUCUUUAUCAUGACUUUUUGUUUAACCAGAUCAUGAAUCCAUUGUUUGCCUAUUUAGAUUAUUCGUAUUAAGUUUCCACUUCUGCUUAUGCCCCUUUCCCCAAUGUUAUUAUUUUUCUUGAAGCAAAAUUCGAGUAUAGGAGUCCUAAUAAAUGAGUAAAGUGCUGAUCAAGAUUUUGGCUAAUUUGUUGAAGUGAUGGUUCACUUGCGUGAAGGACAUAGACUGUUAGUAUGAGACUGACUUUCAUAAGAACUAUGGGUUGACUGUCUAUUCAUUAGAUUUAUUUUAGUUUUUGAUAAUUUUUCUUCUGUUUAUUUAUUUGUGAUAAUUGUUAGUUCUUAUAACAUGAGUAUUAAGUUGGCCUGCAUUAUUUAAAAUCAAAUAAUUUCAGCCAUUUUAAAAGAGAGGGUGCCUUUCAACAAUGUUAGGAAAGAUAUGCAAAAAGUUUUCAAAGUAUAUCUUAUAAGGUUAUAAAUCCAGCCACUUAGCUAGUUAAAAAGAAAAGCCAAGUAACUUCUACUUAUUAUAUGCGAAAAGAAAGGGCUCAGUUCGAAUGAGUAUUGCACACUUCCCUUUGGAUUUUUUUCCUCCUUUUUCAAUUGUUUAUAACUAGAGUCAGGCACAUGCAAUGCAUGUAAAAAUAUAUAUAUAUAUAUAUAUAAAAAAGGGAUGUCCUAAAGAAACUGGAGGCGGGGAGUUAUAUUCGUUGGGAAGGAUAACUUUGAAAUAUUAGCAAAAAUGGAGUUCCUAAAAAGUCUAGUGUCUGUGGCAUAGAUAUUUUACAUACACAUAUACAUAUGUAUAUAUCCAUUUUUACACCCACAAGAUGCGCAUAGAGACUAUAAAAUUUUUGUACCCACUUUAUACGCAGGUUAGAGACCUGCCAAAACUUAUCAUUUUUGGUUUCUAGGUUUUUGUCAGUUCUUUGGAUCAUUAGUAGUGCGGAACUCCAAUAUGAAGAGUCCAUUAUUGAUUUUGGAUCAUUAAUUUAUUGAUUUAACAUGUGAUGUAUACAUGCAUGUAUGUAGCUGAGGUCAAGAUGGAACAAAAAGAGAUCUGCACAAACUGAAGUGUGUUAGGGGCAGUUUAGGUAUCAAAGAAAGCAGAGUCAAUUUUUUUUUGGGGGGCGGUGUUGUACCUCCCAAAGCUUGCAUUAAAUAUAAAGAAGAAUUUCUGAAGGAGUUUAAAAAGCUGCCUAAGCACUGCAUAGGUGUUUACGAAUAGUUGGGUGUCACAUAAUAAGUGGCAAUAUCAAAUAUCUCCUGGGUGUUGUUUGUCAUGUCUUGAGUAUUGUUUUCCAGCCAUCACAAGGAUAGAAAAAGCCUGCCUUAUUGAUGGGAUUUUUGGUUUCUAGGUGUUCUUAGUGGCAUAGGUCACAACCAAUAGUGUGGAUCUCUAGUUUGGAGAGUCCAUUAUUGGUUUUGCAUCAUUGAUUUAUUGAUUUAACAUUUAGUGCAUGCAUGCAUGUAGUUGAGGUCAAGAAGAAACAGAA
rnacentral:lncRNA from 1 species